rnacentral:rRNA from 1 species
AACGAACGUUAGCGGCGCGCUUAACACAUGCAAGUCGCACGAGAAAGGGCUUCGGCCCCGGUAAAGUGGCGCACGGGUGAGUAACACGUGGGUAAUCUUCCCUCGAGCGGGGGAUAACAUUCCGAAAGGAGUGCUAAUACCGCAUAAGACCACGGCUUCGAAAGAAGCUGAGGUCAAAGCUGGCCUCUAUAUAUAAGCUAGCACUUGAGGAUGAGCCCGCGGCCCAUCAGGUAGUUGGUAGGGUAACGGCCUACCAAGCCUAAGACGGGUAGCUGGUCUGAGAGGAUGAUCAGCCACACUGGAACUGAGACACGGUCCAGACUCCUACGGGAGGCAGCAGUGGGGAAUCUUGCGCAAUGGGCGAAAGCCUGACGCAGCGACGCCGCGUGAGUGAUGAAGGCCUUCGGGUUGUAAAGCUCUGUGGGGAGGGACGAAUAAGUAGAAGCUAACACCUUCUAUGAUGACGGUACCUCCUUAGCAAGCACCGGCUAACUCUGUG